GUGACCAUAAUUGGGGGACUAAAUUGCAAAUAUGGAUAAGUGAUGGAAGACCUAUAUAUAUAUAUACAUAAGAGGUCUUCAUAAUUAAAUUAGAGAGAAAGAAAGAACAACAAAAAAAAAAAAAAAAGGGAAAGAAAGAGAGAGGGUUCGGCCAAGGUAUGGCCAAGCAUGGCCAUGGGAGAUUUGAUCAAGAAAAAUUAUUUCUUUCAAGCUUUUAUACUAAGUGGAAGGUUCUCUACAACGUGGAGUAUUCGUUGGAACAAGUGAAUCAUUCGUUUCGCAAAAAUGAGGUUCUAGCCGGGAAAAGGAACUAGUGCUAAGAUUAACAAGUUGGACGAAUAAGCGUAGCUAGUAAGGCGCGGCGCAGGUACACCCAGAUGAGCUGAGGCCCUUAUAGAAGAUGUUCCAGCGAAGUUGGCGAGCUCCAGUUAGCCCGGGAGUGUAGCCGAGUCAGUGUAUAUGUGCCAUGGUUUCCGAUUGCAGUUAGAGACUUUGCAGACAGAGUCGUGGGUAUAGAGCGUCAGCUUUGUAGACGGCUUCGCCUGUCAAAAUGUUAUUACGUUUCAUGUCACGCGUUCCAUAUGAUGAUACACUCUCCAAAAAAAAAAAUUAAAAAAAAUUGAGAGCUUACUAUGCAUUUUAUUCUGAAUUGAUUCCAGAGUUUAUUUAUGUAAUAAGAGUCAGCGGGUUCGCUCGGCUCCAGAUAUGGGGUCGGGUGCCCAUCACACCCUAGUAAGGUCGGGGUGUGACACAAUAUUUCUGAGGAAAAGAACCCUAGAAAAGUCUCUCUAACCCUAAAGUGUGUUCUCACUCAAUCUUGAUCAUUUC